GACGAACGCUGGCGGCGUGCUUAACACAUGCAAGUCGAACGGAAAGGCCCUGCUUUUGUGGGGUGCUCGAGUGGCGAACGGGUGAGUAACACGUGAGUAACCUGCCCUUGACUUUGGGAUAACUUCAGGAAACUGGGGCUAAUACCGGAUAGGAGCUCCUGCUGCAUGGUGGGGGUUGGAAAGUUUCGGCGGUUGGGGAUGGACUCGCGGCUUAUCAGCUUGUUGGUGGGGUAGUGGCUUACCAAGGCUUUGACGGGUAGCCGGCCUGAGAGGGUGACCGGCCACAUUGGGACUGGGGUACGGCCCAGACUCCUACGGGAGGCAGCAGUGGGGAAUAUUGCACCAUGGGCGGAAGCCUGAUGCAGCAACGCCGCGUGCGGGAUGACGGCCUUCGGGUUGUAAACCGCUUUCGCCUGUGACGAAGCGUGAGUGACGGUAAUGGGUAAAGAAGCACCGGCUAACUACGUG
rnacentral:rRNA from 1 species